rnacentral:misc_RNA from 1 species
GUAUAUUUAAACUUUUAUAGGUACAAAGACCCAAUUCAACAUUCUAUAACAAAGGUUUGUGAAAUAACAUAGACCUGGAAAUGCAAGGCAAAGCUGUCUUUUGAGAAAGCUCAGCAAUCCUCAAUCUAUUCGAUUUUCACUCGAACAAUUUCAAAAAUACCAAGGUCUACAAUACGUGCACAGUUGGAGAAAUAAAGAUGACAAGCGUGCACAUGUCUCAAAGAGAGAGACCAGCAAACAGCCUGCAAGUUUAUUCAAUAAUGAUCCUUCCGCAGGUUCACCUACGGAAA